AGCGAACGCUGGCGGCAGGCCUAACACAUGCAAGUCGAACGAACUCUUCGGAGUUAGUGGCGGACGGGUGAGUAACACGUGGGAACGUGCCUUUUGGUUCGGAAUAACUCAGGGAAACUUGUGCUAAUGCCGAAUGUGCCCUUCGGGGGAAAGAUUUAUCGCCAUUAGAGCGGCCCGCGUCUGAUUAGCUAGUUGGUGAGGUAACGGCUCACCAAGGCGACGAUCAGUAGCUGGUCUGAGAGGAUGACCAGCCACACUGGGACUGAGACACGGCCCAGACUCCUACGGGAGGCAGCAGUGGGGAAUCUUGCGCAAUGGGCGAAAGCCUGACGCAGCCAUGCCGCGUGAAUGAUGAAGGUCUUAGGAUUGUAAAAUUCUUUCACCGGGGACGAUAAUGACGGUACCCGGAGAAGAAGCCCCGGCUAACUUCGUG
rnacentral:rRNA from 1 species